rnacentral:rRNA from 1 species
UACGUAGGGUGCGAGCGUUGUCCGGAAUUAUUGGGCGUAAAGGGCUCGUAGGCGGUUUGUCGCGUCGGGAGUGAAAACCUCGGGCUUAACUCGGGGCUUGCUUUCGAUACGGGCAGACUAGAGGUAUGCAGGGGAGAACGGAAUUCCUGGUGUAGCGGUGAAAUGCGCAGAUAUCAGGAGGAACACCGGUGGCGAAGGCGGUUCUCUGGGCCUUACCUGACGCUGAGGCGCGAAAGCUAGGGGAGCGAACAGG